AUCUCCCUGGAGCUUACCAUGUGACCCAGGAUUGAAAGAACCCCAAAGGGAGGCCCUCACUCAAGUCUUGGGAUAAUAGCGAACCCCAAAGAACUCACGAGAGA
rnacentral:pre_miRNA from 7 species